GGCCUGGUGGUGUAGCGAUAACAUGUCCUCUUAUCUUGGCUAUGUGAAAGGGCUUCCGAGGAAGUCCCCGGUUCGACCCGGGGCUAGGUCA